rnacentral:lncRNA from 1 species
CGCUAAGGUCUACAGCUUUUCUCUAACUGAAAAUGCAUUUAGAGAAGGCUUUUAAGGAGGGGAGUGACAGAAUUGAAUCAGAUCUUUCUGAAAACUGCUGAGAGUAGGUUGCAACGGGGUGAAGACAGAGCCGUGGGGCCUGUUAGGACACUACUGAAGUAACCCAGAAAUAACAGCAAAUAAGUACAAGAAAGAUGAGAGCGAGAGAGAGAGAGACCGUGAGCGCAAGAAUUACACCCGGUAUGGAAGACGACUCUAAAUAAUGAUUAUAAUAUUGAUGAAAUCAAAGCAUCUAGAAGACCGUGCAUUCCAUUUUUAAUCUAGCUGAGAUGGCAUAAUUCAUACCUCCUCAAAUUUGGACAAUUAUAAAUGACUCAACCAGCGAGUGCCAAAUUCCACCUACACCCUGAGUAUACCUGAAGCAACCACCGAAACCCAAGCUAAUCGCCAGAUGUAUGCUCACUGAGUGGGUAACUUACCUAACCUUGAGCUCCAUAAAGUACUCUCCUGAUCUUCUGGCGAAUAAUUCAGCAAACGUCUUUCGUUGCUUGAGAAUGCCCUGGGAGGCCUCCUUCUUAUCCUCAGUAAGCUUGUCAGCAUGUUUCUUCCAAGCACAUAUAGCACUUCCCCAGAGAGAUCUAACAAAAUAAAAAGUUUCCUCUUCUCAUUA